UUUGGGUCAGCUGCUGAGGAGCAUCAGAGCAUCUCACUCAAGUCCCACAUCCAGACACAUCUGAGACCAGUGCUGCAGCUAUGGUGCUAUUUUGAAAUUAAAUGUGCUCUUCCUUUGACAAAGAUGUCACCUAUCCUUGAGAAAUUAGUCCUUUCUUUCCCCAUCACAAUGAAAUAUUAUUUUUGUUACAAAGAGAGGAAAGACUUUUUUCUGGUUUUAUUCAGCAUCUGGACCUAUAAAUUAAAGGUGUUUGCAGAUGUUUUGUUUGUCACAGGUCAAUUAGUGACUUACUGGCAGAUUCCACAGCCUGGGAACUUCUGUCAGACCUCCUUCUUCACACUUAAUGGAGAUGGCAGGAAAGCCUCUGGGCAAUUUUGCUGUCCUAGUAGCUGAAUGCCCUGAAGCACAGAAGAGGAGCACCUGCUCAUGGCUGGAUCCACAGGACAGCCUGGAAUCACUCUUCUUUGUAUGGAUGUGCAUUUUCUCUCACAGCAGAAGUUGUUGCUCCACUGUGGGCUGUAAAAUGGGAAUUUGGACCUCAUAAAAACAAGGGUUGAGUUGUUCAUCCUGAUGGAUACAUAAGAGAACUCUUCAUUCUGACUUUGAGUCACAUUUAAAGCGGAGCCUGUUACCUGUUCUCUCUGAUCACGGUCACUGGAUCAAUAAAGUAUUAUUGUCCUUUUUCAUUUGCUCAGAGAAGCUGAGGCUGCCCCAUUCCUGGAGGUGUUCAAGGCCAGGUUGGAUGGGGCUUGGAGCAAUGUGAGCUAGUGGAAGGAAUAAGAUUAUCUUUAAGAUCUCUUCCAACCCAGGCCAUUCUGUGAUUCUAUGACUAUCUUCUUCUUAAUAAGGCUUUUUUUCAAACACAAAUAUUUAUUAAUAUCCCUGAACUUUUUUUUCCUUGGGCUGACAACCUUUUUUUUUUUUUUUUUCUUUUUCCUCACCUUUUUAUUUUUAUAUAUAUGUAUAUUUUAACAUCAAUGUGGAUGAUGUUCUCAUAGAAAGACACUGAUACAGAUCUCUAAUGAACAAGGCAUGCCACCAUGUCUGGAAAAAGAAUCAUAUGCUUGAAUUUUCUAAACUCAAGAGC